rnacentral:lncRNA from 1 species
GCCAAUAGAAAAAUGAUACAGCAAAAAGUUCAAGAAAGUACUGGUGCCAAUGUAGCUGUUUUGCGAGACGAAGACAAUAAUUU